UGAGUGACCAUCCAAGGAAUAUGUCCUCGCGCGCGGCCGCCGUUUUCCUUUUCGGAAUGUGGGUAAAGAAUUUACCGCUAACAGACGACCUCCAGGUUCGCUCUUGGACAGCAAGAUUGAGAGACAAAACUUAACAAAGCGCUGUGCAAACUGAAAUCCCAGGCUUAGCUCGCUUGUGUCUUGAACACGGAAGUCACCUAGUCACCCACAAGAUGUAUGAGUACAGCUAACCCCCAGAUGCAUUUGACAGACGGCGUGGGACGCGCCACUUGCUGAUUGGCUCUCCUUUCCCAGUUGACCGCGACAUCCCCCAGCCCCAACUCCCUUUUGAUGGGGCUGUGACCACCUGCCGGUCCCCUCACCCACCCCUCACGCCCGGAGAGUCCGAGGUUGAUUCGAGUACUCACUAUGUGCUUAUGUAACACAUGUUUUCAUUAUUAAAAUAUAAC
rnacentral:lncRNA from 1 species